AAACGAAAAAACCGCCCUGGCAGGCGGUUUUUUCGAAGGUUCUCAAUGCCUAGUAAACAUUUUGAACCGAGGUAACUGAACUUCGCGGGAACAGUCACCCAAACUUGUCCUUUCAGUGUAGCCGUAAAAGGCAUGGCACUUCAAGACCUCAAGAAUUAAUACCAUUUCCUAUAUCCCGCAAGCUUCCAGUUACCAAUGGCUACCGCCAGUGGCGAUUCUUCGUGUCUUUCAGGUUUGGCCUCAAGUGUUUGUUACCUGAAUUUGGCGCGGUAGUCGGACUAAACGGGGAGUUCGUGCAUAUAGUCCAGCUUGGAGCGAACCACCUACAAGGCACCCAGUUGCAUGGGAAGGAAUGAGAAAACGCCACCUUACGGCGGUCUGCAACGGGUAAACCUCAGGGUGGGAACAGGAAAGCGCACGAGGGAGCGACCUAUCGGAAACGGUGGGGAUCUUUAAGUCCUGUCAGGUUUCGCCACUUCUGAUUUGAGCGCCGGAAAUCAUCCGAUUUCUGUGAUGUUCGUCAGGAGGGCGAAGCCUAUGGAAAA
rnacentral:misc_RNA from 1 species